UGCUCCUCUUAUCUGCCUCCUGUUAAAGGAUCUCAAAUAUGCACCCCGAUAAGGUGGAACGCACCCCCGCUUCCCGGUCCCAUCCAACACCAGCCUCCACUUUUCCCCAAAGUAAUUAAGAUAAAUGCAGCUGAUAAUUUGCCCAGGAUUCUUAAACAGACCCUCGGGCCGUAUCUCAGAUAUAAUUUUACCUGCUAAGGUUUAUCUGAGUGCUCGGGUAACAGAUAGUUUUUAAGCAAAGCGGCAGCUUUUGAAGCAAAAGGAAAGGGGAAUGUUUGUAAAAUAAAUGUCACAAGGAGCCGCUGCGGCAGCCCCUCCGUGCGGGCUGUGCCAACUGAGACCCCGCCUCAUCUGGGCCGGCCACCCUGCUCCGCUCGCUGCCCAGGAUUCGGAACCCUUUGUGGGGCUGGCCAGGAAGGGGGCUGGGCUGGGCAUGGAGGGGGCACAAGCCUCCCCGUGGGGGAGGCUGGCAGGGGGUGGUUGUGGGGCGGUGCCCAAGGCUGUGCCCCUCAUGCUUUUCCAGCCUUGCUAGUCAGGGAUGACCUGGAGCGGAGACCCUGCCCGGUUGAGCUGACGUGCAGGGUGUCCAUCGGGGAGCAGGCCGGCGGCGGGGGGCUGGUCCAAGCCACGGGCCAGCAGUGGUGCAGGCACAGGUCAGCCAGGCGGCAGGGCCAGUGUCCAGGGAGGCGCAGCUCAGGGCACUUGGCCUGGACGGGCAGCCAGAGGCGGGCAGGGGUCUAUAAAGGGGCCCGGGUUGUGCCUCCCAGGGGGGCAUUGUGUGGGGGUGGCAGAGGGUGGAAGGGGACACGGGGGUGGGGACAGGGUCCUACUCCAGGCUCUGCCUUAGACAGCCCAGUCUCCUGGAAGCCUCAGUUUCCCCGUCCACACCUGGUCAGGCUGGACCCUGGCUGCCCAUCACAGCCUGGUCCACCUAGCAGCACCUACAUCUUGCCUCCUGAUCGGUGUCUAGGAAAGGGGGUUGCCUAGGGGGUGUAUGUCCACGGCAUCCCUGAUCCGCCAGAAGACCCCCACUGGCUGCCCCCUCGCCAGCCUGCUCGCCACCC
rnacentral:lncRNA from 1 species